AUGGAGCAGACACGUGUCCUGACGUCAUGUUAGAUUUCUCAGUCUCGCUUGGUUUCUGACACCAGGAGCUUUCAGUCGUGUCGCCAAGGGCGGGCGCAGAGUGGAGCCGCCAGAGGAGGGACAUGGGAUUUGAAAGCAAGUCAGUCUUUGGCACACGAGACAGUCCUUUCGGAGGCGCUGGGGGUCGGUCUCCGUGGGGAGCACGGCUCUGGCCUCCCCCUCCAGCCCCCGCGGCAUCCCGGCGCCCCCCGGUCGCAGAGCAGAGAGCCCCCUGCCGGCCGCCGGAGGAGAAGCACGUCCUGCGACUGCCUCCCACCCGGGACUGCGAGGCUUGUGGCCGCGUCAGGACAGGCCCGUGUUCGCGGUCACUCGCACGCACGCUGCUGGUGUGGACCGGACGUGGAAACCCCGCGCUGUCAGGAUCACUGUCCGUGCAGCCACCGCCCGCCCUCGGCCGGCUCAUGCUCCGCUCCAGGCCCGCUGGGUCCCGCCAGAGCCACGGCACAGCCACCCGUUCUGGAUCUUCCACCCGGAGGAACUCGAGUGUGGGGACUCGCUCAUAACUUCAGGUUGUGUGAGUGUGCGUUGGAGAAGACCAGUCCCUGUAUCUCAUGUGUAUUUUCACAGUGCCUGAUGUUUGAUGACACUUUGCCCAUGUUUUAGUUUCAGAUGCGGCAGAAAACUCAGCCCCACUUGGCAAAAGUUCUUGUAGAAUUCAGUGAAGCGCAACUUUCAUACCUCGUAAUUUCCCUCUUUAACUGACCGGAAAACCUUCUGUCUUGUUCCAAAUGCAAGGUGGUCUGUGUUCUGAGAAACGUGGUGCCUGGGCACGUCCUCCUGGGUUCCGCGGUCUCGAGUGCCGCCUGGGAGCCAGGUGCGGCCCGCGGCACAGACCCAGGGCCCAGCCGCCCUUCCCAUGGGAGACCCACGAGGGCCCUGGCCGCCUCGGUCCACACGGGCACGUCCGCAGCCGGUGGCACCGUGUGGAGCCCAUCUUGGGGGCGGGGCGGGGCCGGUCACCCAGGGUGUCUGGGUGGGGCGGGCAGCUUGGAAGCCUGGUUUCAGCCCAGCACAGGUGCCUCCCCGCGAUAGGAGACCCCGGGUGGGCUGUGCUGACGCUCCAGCCCAAGGGCGUUAAACACGCUCACCACGUGAUAAACGAAAGCUCUGGUGUUUCAGGGACAUGGGACUUCUUUUGAAAUAUCGAGGCAAACUGGGUAGCCAAAUUUUGGGACUGAUCUCUGUAAACAGAAGACGGAUGACGCUGUCUAAAAGCUGGUGGUUGUGUAACUUGCUCAGGUAGGAAGCGGCGGCAGAUCCACUUUCUGGAGUGUCCCGGAGUGUUCUGGGGCCUGAAGGGGCCCGGGGCUUAUCUGUGGCCUCCUGCAGAGGGUUAAGACGGGAGGCUCGGGCGGUGGCGGGGCUUGGCUUUGUCUGCGCUUCCUGGAGGCUCUGGUUGUGGGCCUGAUGUGCAGGACCAGCAGUCAGACCCGGCCGCCACGGGGAAGAGGUGGAGCUGCAGCCGCUUGCUCCUCUCACCGUCUGCCGGCAGCAGGUGCUUCUCUCCCGUGCGUUGUAAUCAGUACGUCACCAAAGAGACAUUUGCACUAUGUAGGGACGCUUUCAGUUCCAAUAAAUGGGCCA
ensembl:lncRNA